UACUCAAAAAUUAAACAACUGGUCUGAACAAUUAUACGGAAAAGAGCAUUGGAGUGAUGAUGUUUCCGGGAGUGAUGAUGCUGACCACCGGUGCAAACGUUGUUCACCGGAGUUCUCCGGCGAGGACAGUGUGCUUGGCUUCCCGGAUCGACGCUGAUCAAUUACGAGAUCAACUCGAUCAGCUUCACUUUGAGGCAUCAAACACUAGAGCUAAAGCUAAUAAAGCAAGACAGAGGUUGUUGCGGUUGUCUGAAGCAGCAGAAAAGCUUCAACAACAGGCAGCCAUUAGCGUUCAAGCUGGGAAAGAGAACGAUGCUAGAGAGAUGCUACUUCAAAAGAAGAAGGCUAUGCAAGCUUUAGAGAAGACAAAGAGUCGAAUUGAGUUGCUUGAUGAGCUCUCAACAAAGCUUAUUGAGGCAAUAUCUCUGCGAGAAAGGAAGCUUGUUGGGACAGUUGCUCUAAAUCUUGAAAUCGAAAGAGAAGAUGAUGCUUCUCAAGUUCGGGUUUUCUCUCCACCUUCUCAAAGUUUGGGAGUCGAUGGAAAUUCUGAAAAAGAUUUGCUGAAUUCAAGUGAAGGUCAAGAACUACAAGAUAGAACCUACAACUUGCCUACAGAAGACGAAACGAACAAUAUUGAAGGAUCUUUGCAAGUUCCCUUACAACUUUCAACUCAUGGUAUUGAAAGCGAUAAUGAUCUGAUCAGUAGGUUGACCGGUUUAACUUCUUAUGAAGACCUUUUGGACCGAAUUGAUCAAUAUCUGAACAAAGUCGAAGACGAGGUCAGCACAGUUGUGAAAUUCUCGACUUUGGUUCUGGAAAGCAAGGAGACCCCGGCAAAUGUGAAGUUGCAACAACUGAUGGAAAUUCUUGAUGCUGUUCGGCAUGUUAGACAAAGGAUUGCUGUCAUUAUGGAAAGUGCAAACAGAAGCAGAGAUGAAAUUGUUAUCUAAUGGUUUUUAUGCAGCAGACAUGGCUUCAAAAAGAUUGUUAACACAUGGAGGAUUCAAAGGCUUGGACUUGAAUAUCACUCAAAACAGUCAAAAUUUAUCGCAGAACUGAGGAAGAGAAGAUUUCAGUUCAAUCACCCACUCAUUUGCUCAUCUGUUCUCAAGGAUGGUAUUUUGGUUCCAUGAAAGAUAGCUAUGAAAUACAGACUAGUGGUUCCCUGGUUAAGCACUUAAGCCUAGCGGAUGUAAUGAAAAAUCUAUCUAUUCUUGGUUCGAAUCCAGGUGUUGCCAAAGCUCUUGUAGUCAUGAAAGUUCACUUGUAACGACUCCAGACCAUUUGUGGUCGCUUGGGGGAUUAGUCGGUGUGCUUAAGCUGCUUCGGAAACUCACGGUUACCCCAAAAAAAAGUCAUAUGUUGACUAGAAACUCUUGUGUUAUCCAGGGAUUUUGAGAU